rnacentral:rRNA from 1 species
AAUACCAGCCAUACCUGCUUGUCAAAGCCUGAUGUCGUCACAUCUCAGAAGCUAAGGAAGGCUGGGCCUGGUUAGUACUUGUAUUGGAGAACGCAGCGAAUAUCAGCUGCCACAGUUU